UACAUAGGGUGCAAGCGUUGUCCGGAAUUAUUGGGCGUAAAGAGCUCGUAGGUGGUUCGUCACGUCGGAUGUGAAACUCUGGGCUUAACCCAGACCUGCAUUCGAUACGGGCGAGCUUGAGUAUGGUAGGGGAGUCUGGAAUUCCUGGUGUAGCGGUGGAAUGCGCAGAUAUCAGGAGGAACACCAUGGCGAAGGCAGGACUCUGGGCCAUUACUGACACUGAGGAGCGAAAGCGUGGGGAGCGAACAGG
rnacentral:rRNA from 1 species